rnacentral:rRNA from 1 species
UACGGAGGAUGCAAGCGUUAUCCGGAAUUAUUGGGCGUAAAGCGUCCGCAGGUGGUCAGACAAGUCUGCCGUUAAAGCGUGGAGCUUAACUCCAUAAAGGCGGUGGAAACUGUCAGACUAGAGUUCGGUAGGGGUAGCAGGAAUUCCCAGUGUAGCGGUGAAAUGCGUAGAGAUUGGGAAGAACAUCGGUGGCGAAGGCGUGCUACUGGGCCGAAACUGACACUCAGGGACGAAAGCUAGGGGAGCGAAAGGG